rnacentral:miRNA from 1 species
UAGGGUGACCAGCUGUCCUGGUUUGCCUGGGACUGAGGCCUUUGCUGAAAUAUGAAAUUUCAGUGCAAAGACAGG